GGGAAUGUGGCUUAGUGGUAGAGUGCUUGCCUAACAUGCAUGAAGUCUGGGGUUUGAUUCCUCAGUACCA
rnacentral:tRNA from 1 species